UACGUAGGGCGCAAGCGUUGUCCGGAAUUAUUGGGCGUAAAGAGCUCGUAGGCGGUCUGUCGCGUCCGUUGUGAAAACUCGAGGCUCAACCUCGGGCUUGCAGUGGAUACGGGCAGACUAGAGUGCGGUAGGGGAGACUGGAAUUCCUGGUGUAGCGGUGGAAUGCGCAGAUAUCAGGAGGAACACCGGUGGCGAAGGCGGAUCUCUGGGCCUGAUCUGACGCUGAGGCGCGAAAGCUAGGGGAGCGAACAGG
rnacentral:rRNA from 1 species